AAGGGGGAAGCCAUAUUUAGGGUUUUUAAGCUUUCAAGCUCUAUAGUAAGUGAUUCCAAGCCCCGUUUUUAAUGUUCUUUACGUUUUUGGAAUCCCGGUAACUUGGUUUAGCUUAUUCUACCAUUAAUUCGUGUUAGGGUUCAUAUUUGGAAAAAUACCCAUAGGUGAAAUAUGUUUAUUUUGCUGUUUUAUGGUGGAAUAUGAAGCUAGAGACUAUGUUAAACAACUUUUGCUAAGCAAUUUUAAGCGAAAACGGGUAAAUAGACAUAAUCGGUAAAAAUAAUUAAUAUUCAAAAGUAUGUGUUAGAGUGGGAAUUUGAUGUUGCCAUAGAAGGGAAAAGUGUUCAGCAUGUUAUAAAACUUAAGAAUAAGUGAUGAAGUUUAAUUUCCGAGCUUGGGGACAAAAAUGUAAUUAUGCAAAAGUUUGGGGGCAAAAUUGUAAUUUUUCAAAAAGUUGAGUGGUGGAUUAUUUUAAUAAAUGUGGACUUUAAACGAGUUAAAUUUGCUAUUAUAGAUCAAGAAAGACGUGAAGAGUAUAUCAAACGAGGAAAAGAAAAGAUAGUGGAGUAAAGUGCAAAAUUACGAUAUUUUGCACCGAGGUAAGUAAACACGUGACUUAAUGUAUUAUUUUGACAUUAUUUGAUAUAUGUUGAGAUUUAUUUGGAAUUAAAAUAAAUGUUUGGCCAUAUCCUAAAAAUGUUGUUAAAUCGGGAAAUGUGGUAAAGGGUUGCAAUAUAUGGUUUAUGGGUUGAACACUCGGAAUAAGCCGGAGUAUGUUGUAUAUAAAGGGGUUGCUGUGUGCUGAUUCCCCGAUUCAUUGGUGGUGCUAUGUGCGUGAUCCACCAUAUCUUUGAAAUGUGAAAAGGGGGUUGCUAUGUGCUGAUUCCCCCGAGGGGUUGCUAAGUGCUGAUUCCCCGGUUCAUUGGUGGUGCUAAGUGCGAUAUCCACUGUAUCUUUGAAAUGAAAAGGGGGUUGCUAUGUGCUGAUUCCCCCGAGGGGUUGCUAAGUGAUGAUUCCCCGAUUCAGUGGUGGUGCUAAGUGCGAGAUCCACCAAUAACGGUUAACAUUCCGAGUGUUCAACGAAAAAGUGUGGAAGGUGAAUAUUGCCAUAUGGUGGAAAAUUUUAUGGGGUAAAUAUUGAGUUAGACACUAAAUCGAUCCAUGUAUGAGAUGGGAGAAAAUAUCAAAAACGAAAAAGGAACGAUUUAAUUAUAAACUGUGUUGAACAACAGCAGUUGGGUAACUUUGAAAAAUCACCAUAAAUGGUGGAAAAUGAAUGGAAAGCUGAAUAAUAUAUGAAAUUGAAGCUGAAUGUGUCUAUUUUCAUAUGAAAGAAAGAGAAUAAGCAAAAGAGUUGUAUUUUUGGAGAUAUCUGAAUUUUACUGAAACAGAGCUGGAUUGAUUUCGAGAUCCCCUGUUCUAACUUUGGAAAAUUACCAAAAAUUGUAAAAAAAUAAUUAUGGCAUGAAAUUUAUAUCCUUGGAUUCCUUAUUGAGUCUAUUUUUAAUAGAAACAAGAGAAACCAUUUUUAAAAUUUUGUACAGAGAGUUAAGGGAAUUUUUGUGAGGAAGGGUUAGAACCAUUGGGCAGUGAAACAGGGGAAGGUUUAAUGAAUAAACUGUACUAAUUGGCUGGGUCAAAAAUUCUUAAAUUUUUAUGGUGAAAUUGUAUAUGAGUCUAGUUUCAGGGAAAUUUUACGGAACUCAAUUUGGAGUCCUGUAGCUCCGGAUAAAAAUAAAUUAGCGACUAUGACGCAGAAAAAUAGUUUGCUGGAAAUUGCCUAAACAAUGAAGUUAUUCAUGAAUAAGUUUAUAUUUUGGUGUAGUUAUGUGAGUAAUUACUUAUUUAUCAUGUGUUUACUUACUAAGCUAUAUGCUUACUCGAUUUUAUUUUUCCCUUGAUUAUAGUGACUUCCAACAACUCGGAAAUUUGGAACAAAGUCAGACAAUCAUCCACACUAUCCUUCACACUUGGGGUAUUUUGCUACUAUCGCUCCGGAAAUUUUAUGGCAUGUAUAGACGACCUAUGAAAUAUGGAAUCAUCAUGUAAACUUAUGUUAUGCCUCGUUUUAAAUGUGGUGUUCAUUAAUAGUUAAAUUGUGAG
rnacentral:lncRNA from 1 species